rnacentral:rRNA from 1 species
AGUCGAGUGGUAACAGGAAUUAGCUUGCUAAUUUGCUGACGAGCGGCGGACGGGUGAGUAACGCGUAGGAAUCUGCCUGGUAGUGGGGGACAACAUGUGGAAACGCAUGCUAAUACCGCAUACGCCCUACGGGGGAAAGGAGGGGAUCUUCGGACCUUUCGCUAUCAGAUGAGCCUGCGUGAGAUUAGCUAGUUGGUGGGGUAAAGGCUCACCAAGGCGACGAUCUCUAGCUGGUCUGAGAGGAUGAUCAGCCACACUGGGACUGAGACACGGCCCAGACUCCUACGGGAGGCAGCAGUGGGGAAUAUUGGACAAUGGGCGCAAGCCUGAUGCAGCCAUACCGCGUGUGUGAAGAAGGCCUUAGGGUUGUAAAGCACUCUCUUGAGUGAGGAAGGGUGUACGGUUAAUACCGGUAUAUUUUGACUUUAUC